rnacentral:rRNA from 1 species
AGGCUUAACACAUGCAAGUCGAGCGCGUAGCAAUACGAGCGGCAGACGGGUGAGUAACGCGUGGGAAUCUACCCUUUUCUACGGAAUAACGCAGGGAAACUUGUGCUAAUACCGUAUACGCCCUUUGGGGGAAAGAUUUAUCGGAGAAGGAUGAGCCCGCGUUGGAUUAGCUAGUUGGUGGGGUAAAGGCCUACCAAGGCGACGAUCCAUAGCUGGUCUGAGAGGA